rnacentral:lncRNA from 1 species
GAAAGCUUCCUUUAUCUUUCUCCCUUUGUUUUGCAGCCCUUAUUUCGUUCAUAAAUUUGUUUUAUUAUUGUUAUUAUUCUUUUUUGCUUUUUAAAUUCAUUUACCCGAAAACUAGCCAUUGUUAGGGUUAAUGUUGCCUGCGGGAAAUCAUAGUUUAGUUCUCAUAUAAAACAAAGAAAAAUCUCAUGAAUUGGAUUGAGCUAUAAUGAUUAACGAAGAUGAAGAUGUUUGUCUAAAAGAUGAAUCAAACGACUUAUUCUAAGUGAAAAUGAAAAGGGGUUUCUAUGGUAGCAUUUUUUUGGCUUCUAUUUCAUAGAUUGAAGGGAGGACCGUGAAGAAUGAAAUUGACAGAUUUAGUGCAAUCCAUUACUGCGCAGAUUUGUACUGCCGGUGGUCAUAUUCACUUGAACAUGAUGUUUGCCUUACUCAUCUGAGUCUAUUCCCAACACAAUAGUAGACUUGAAAGCUUAAUGUUUUAUAUGAAAAUUUUGGCUUUAGUUAUGGUAGGAUUAUGCUUUCGAUUUGUCCUGAAUCUGUUCAUGUAUUCCCCUUGACUUUAACGUGGGGAUUUGAAUGUUGGAUCAGGGAAUUAUGUUAAGACAUUAAAGUUUGGCUAGUGAGUUGACUAAAUUGUGAGUUUCGUGCUAUAUGAAUCCACUUAGCGUCAUUAAAAUCUAUAAUUAUUUCCAACAACUUUUACAUGGUUGAUUCUGGGUCAUAAGAUUAUGGACGAAUAGAAGAUGAUGACUGAAGCAGGUACUUAUGAUAAUCGGGCUUAUCUUACUGUUCUCAUGGUGCAGCUAAUUGUAGUAGUGUGCCGAGUUUCAAGGAUAUGUCUGUAUGAUUUACAAGACUGCCGUCUGAUUCAUUCUCUGUUCAUUAUGUUUAAUGGCCAAGAAAUAGAUAUACCCCUUUCUGUACAAGCCCUAUUGGUUAUAACUUUAAUGACCAAACUAUAAGUUGGGCCACCUGUUGAAUAUUAGUUGAUUUUAAGUUAAAUCGAGAUUUAUAUCUCUCAAGCUGAAUUUCCUGUUCAUCAACUGUUUUAAGUUAUGAGGUUGAACGAGCAGCAUUUUGAUGUCACAAGAAAAGGGAAAUAGGCUAGGUUUUGACAACAGGGAGAGAGAGAGUCGUGAAAUUUGGGAGCAAUUUCAAUUAGUCAUCUAGUUUUGUUUUUUUUCAUAUGAACUUUUGUGUCAUAUUAUAUAUUUUUUCUACAACCAUGCAGGUCAAAUUCAUUACAUUCAUAAUGGGGAGAAGACCUGCUAGGUGUUACAGGCAGAUUAAAAACAAGCCAUACCCGAAGUCACGAUUUUGUCGGGGUGUCCCUGAUCCUAAGAUCAGGAUCUAUGAUGUUGGAAUGAAGAGGAAAGGAGUUGAUGAAUUCCCAUUCUGUGUCCAUCUCGUGAGUUGGGAGAAAGAAAAUGUGUCCAGUGAGGCUUUGGAAGC